UAGUCCACGCUGUAAACGAUGGGUACUAGCUGUUGGGGGAGUCUGUCCCUUAGUGGCGCAGUUAACGCAUUAAGUACCCCGCCUGGGGAGUACGGUCGCAAGAUUAAAACUCAAAGGAAUUGACGGGGCCCGCACAAGCGGUGGAGCAUGUGGUUUAAUUCGAUGCAACGCGAAAAACCUUACCUACCCUUGACAUCCUCGGAACUUGUCAGAGAUGACUUGGUGCCUUCGGGAACCGGGUGACAGGUGCUGCAUGGCUGUCGUCAGCUCGUGUCGUGAGAUGUUGGGUUAAGUCCCGUAACGAGCGCAACCCUUGUCCUUAGUUGCCAGCAUUUAGUUGGGCACUCUAAGGAGACUGCCGGUGACAAACCGGAGGAAGGUGGGGAUGACGUCAAGUCAUCAUGGGCCCUUACGGGGUAGGGGCUACGACACGUGCUACAAUGGGGCAGUACAGAGGGGUCGCCAAGCCGCAA
rnacentral:rRNA from 1 species